rnacentral:lncRNA from 1 species
AGCUACACUGAGACUUUACACUUGAGACCAAGAGAUUGGGGAAAGAAUUAAAAGGAUGUUGCUGAGCACCUUGGGAACUCCUGUUUUACUCUGCUGGGAAGACCUUCUCUCACUGGAGGCAAGAUAUUUCCUAGUCUGUGGUUGAUAUAUCAUCAGAAGGGACAGAGCCAUGUUCCCACCCUGCAGCACCAGGUCCAAGAUGCUUUGUCUCAGAGAAGUUUUCUUGGUCCACACUGCUACAGGUGAUUUGAGACCCAAAGGAGACAGAACCCAGCAGGUCAACGACAAGCACUGCUCAGUAGGGAGCCAGACAUCAGGUGCAACCUGACAGUGUGGGGCUGAAAGCGAGGUACCUUUUAAGAGAGUCUUGGGCCAGGAGCAAGUACCCUGUGGCCUGGAGAGCAAAGUCCUGUCAGAAGGGAGCUUUGCCCCAGGAACAGUUUGCGCAAAUCUGUCUGCACAGCUCCUGCAAGACUGCUCAUCCCAUCAAACUCUGUGAGAAGGGACAACUGCAUCUUGCAGAGAUGCAAUUUCUGUAAACUCCUUACUGAAUUGAGUUUUUGAGGAAGCUGGAAGGGGUGUUGCCAGGAGACGGGAGGUGAAAGGCGCUCUUCUAGUGCUGUCAUGUCUGCAUUGAUGUGGAUGCUGUACCUCACCGGAUGGUCAUUGGCUGGGAGCUACAGAGCAAACCCACAGGAACAGGAGCACGCAGAAGGCUUCAUCCUGCAAGGCUCUGAGCAGACUGCACCCCUUACCAGGCCAAAUAGGGUAUUUGGUUCUUCACACAAUUUCCCCCUGUGAGUUAUUCAAGUUGAUUGAAUGAAUGAUUGAAUUUGUUGUGUUUAGUGUCUAAUAAGGCAAGCUAGUUAAUUUCUGCUGGAUAAUUAGAAUAAAUCUCUAAUUGAAUCAAAGCCA